rfam:Pochonia chlamydosporia 170 chromosome 6, whole genome shotgun sequence.
ACCAAGAUGGCCGAGUGGUUAAGGCGAUGGUUUUAAGUACCUUUCUUAAACCACCAUUAUCGAGAGAUUCCUGGGUUCGAACCCCAGUCUUGGUA